AUCACAUAACUUUACAUCUAGUCUCUUUAUAUAUUUUUCUAUUAUAUAAAAGAGCAACAGUUUCGACAUGUCUGUUUUGUGGUAUUAAAAUUCAAAUUGAGGGUAUUAUAGCCAUUUCAAUCUACAAAUUAAUACAGUUGUCUAUGUGUCUCUUACUCUUACAUUCACCGCAUAUUGUUCUCAUUCUUAUUAUCGCCUUUACUCCUCCUUUCUCUUCGGUAUUCCUUGCUGAUUUUCUGAUUUAUCGUGGACUUCACUCUCUAUCUUAUUUUGUGCUUAAUCUAAGUUUCAUUUUACUUUGUGGUUUUCACAUUUUCUACUUUCUCUCUCAAAUCUCUUGAACUUGCAGGUAAAUUUUAUUUGUCUUUAAUAUCAAUUUUGUUGUUUUCUAUCUGUUGUUUCUCCUUUUUUGUUCCAAUUUAUUUCAACCCACACAAUACUAAACAAUGGAGGUUUACCUCAAAUUCAUGAAAAUAAACUGAAUUAAAGACAAAUUUUGUCUAUAUUCAAGAAGAUCCAGAAAUUUUCGAGUUAGGGUUUUGAUGGAUGAUAUUGGGGGAACGUUUUUUUUUUGCGGAGAUGAAUUGAAGUCAAGAGCUCAGCUUUGAGUAUUCAAUCUCUUUCAAAACUUGUAUUGCAAAUGUUUGUCUUCUUCUUGCUCUCAAGUCUAGCUGCAGCUAUUUUUUUCUCCUUUUUCUUAGUUCUUCCUUCCCUUUGGGUCAUUAUUGUUAGUUUUGAAAUUUAAUGGUUCCUGAUAUCUUCUCCUCUCAUUUUUUCAUCUUUUUUUCCCUUUGUAUUCUUCGACUAAUUCUGAAGUUUAGUGGUUAUGGCAGGUUUAAAUUGGCCAAUUAAAAUUUUCCUUUCUGCUUUUCGGGUUAUGGCGUGUCCAGAUUGGAGAAAUUUGAGUUCGAUAUUAAAGUUACCCGAUAAUUUUUCUUCAUUUCAUAUUUUUGGGUGGUAAAAUUGUGAUAAAUAUGAAUCGACUCUUUGUGCCUCUUUUGGUGCCGGCCAUGAGCCAAACAAAUAUGAAUGAUCUCGAAAGAGCACAAAUCGUAGUGUGCGAUUUUCUUCCCUGAAUGACAUAAAAAAAUAACACUUAUCAUAGACAAAUAGCAGAAACAUAAAAAAUUUACCUUGACACUUAAGUGAAUGGGAAAUUAGUUCAACUCUAGAUAGACAAUAGAUAGUUGCAUUUACUCUAGAUGGACAAUAGAUAGUUGCAUUUGAUCAAGGGAAACAUGUCGAAAGACACACUACCUCGAGCACAUAGAUUCAAGAUGUCGCACAUGUUUAGGAGAUGACUGUUGUUAAUAUGUUUAGCUUCUCUUCUCCUCUUUCUUUCCCUAUUUUUGUUUGGCUAAAAGGUGUUAUCACUCUGCCACUGAAGUAGUAAAAGCACUAAUAUCCGCAUUGCUACUUUUACAGAGUACUAUUGUAUUUUUCAAAGGAGUGGUAUAAGGCAGUAGAUUAUGAGAGAUAUUGCCUAACAUGAUCAAUAACCCAAUAAAAGGGGGAAAAGGAAGAGGUCAGUAUUGGCGAGUAUGGACUCCCAUGGCCUCAAUGGUAAACUAAUCUUUAGUUGUGUGUUCAACGAUUCCAGUUGUUCCAAUAUACCAAUAUCAGGCCUUUUGAGUUUGGCAUCACCAUUUGAUUUUCAUAUAAGGUGAAGUUAGGGAAAAUAAAAGCUGCAACGUUGUAUCGAGAAGUAAAGAAGUCGUUAAAAUUGGUGAUAAGACUUUUAUAGUCACGUGUAGUAGAAUUAACGUUUGAAUUUGGAUGAUUUUCAAAUAUUCAUACAUUCAGCUUAGUAGAUGGGCUUGUAGUAGGGGCAAUGAGGUUGAUGGAAGCUGAGGUGAGCAAGAUAAGAGUACAUCACUUGAUGCCAUUAGUAAAUUCCUGAAAUUUUAUAUUCACCGGGAGAGUGAAAUAAAAGGUUUGCUUAUUUUUUCAUCUUCACAUGAUCAAUGACUUAGAGAGUGUUUGGCUAAGCUUAUAAGCUGGUCAUACUGGCUUAUAAGCAAUUUUUGGCUUAUCUACUUGUUUGAUAAAAUUAAAAGUGCUUAUAAGUUAAGUGUUUAUAAGCCAAAAAUAAGCCAAAAGCCAUAAGCUGGUCUCUCCCAACUUAUCAAAUUUCAGCUUAUAAGCACUUUAGGUUUGACCAAGAUAUUUACUAUUCUAUCCCUAAAAUACUUUUUUUAAAACAAAAAUCUUCAUAUAUCCAGUUCUUCAGCUGCUUAUUAUUAAUUUCAGCACUUUUAUCCAAACACAUAACUGCUUAUUUUCCAAAUCAGCUUCAGCACUUAAAAGUACUUUUCAGCACCUAAUGCUUAUCAGCUACUCUAAAUCAGCUAAGCCAAACGGGCUCUUAAUUCAUCCCGUCUACUACCUGGAGUUCAACAUUGACGUUUUCAAUAUUGCCAUAGGUACUAACAAUCAAUUGUAGUUGGAGCUUUUGUUGCCGGACUACUUAAAAUCUGCUAUAUCUUUUUAUGUCAUAUGUUUUAUUGCAGAAUAUUAGAAAAUGGAAGUGUUAGCUUCCUUUUCUAUUUUUCCUUUUUGAUGAGUAAACCGACAGCUCUUUAUAGCUCGAAUUCGAUAGUCGUGGUUGAUAAAGGCUGCUUCUACAUGUUCUGAAAAUGAACUGUUUGCUACAUAUUUUCGUUGAAGGAGUUCUGGUCUAUGUUCUGCAUAUAACAUGCUGCACGAGAAAGCAUUAGAUUGUACGCUAUCCAUUCAUAUGCAAAAUCGGCAGAGAAAAAAAUUGUGCAGGAGGGCCUCAGAUGGUGUAAUUAUUUAUAAACUUUUUAAAUUGAUCUCUUCACAAAACUUAAUGUGAGCUUUUGAGCUGUCUAUUAUUCAUUUUUAUCUUUCAUGUUUAGUUUACCAAAAAUGUACCGUUUUUCUUAAUGUAAAGAUAGUUCAGUCAUAUGCACAAGAUGUGCAUCACUAAAAGAAAGCUUAUGAACUUGACUGAUCACUUGGAAAAUAAAGUUCAUAUGAUUGGCAAUAAACAAUAUAGGUAAGGGUACUGUGUGCUUGAGGAGGGAGUGUAUCAAACUCAGUUAGGUCCUAGGAUGAUUUGAUUUCAUUUGAUUUUGUCUCAUUGUCUUAAGAUAAGCUUCUCAAUUUAGACCAACAAUUUAAGGAACCAUCUAUGUAUUUUCUCUAACUGGUUAUCGAAACAAAAAGUAAGUAGAUGAUGGUAGGUUCAUGGUUAUGUGUAAUAUAUAUUGAUUGCAUGAAAUUGCACAAUUGUAUCAUUAUAUUUCUUGCUCAAGUGCACUGGAACUUUAGAAAUUCAUUUUGAAUCAAGAAAGUGGCAGAGAAGAUCUGAUAUUCUAUUGCAUUUUCAUAUCUUAUUUUUCGAAGAUUAGUUGGCUCCUACAUUAUUUUUGUGUGAACUUUCCAAUUUGAGUGUUUAUUUCUGGUAGAAGUAUUUUUCUUCUUCUUUUAUGUACAUAAGUUCAACUCUUUGAGAAAGUGAUAUCGAAAACAAACAAAAAGAAAGCAAAUUUGUUUGUUGCCUAAGCAGAAUUGUCUUCAUUCAAAUAAGGUAAUUUGAUAAAUAAUGUCCACGACUCUCAAGCUUUUUCGCCAAUGCUUAAAAGCUAACUGAUCAUGUUGUCUCUAAUUCCUAUUGUUCUUACUGGUAGUAUAGCAAGGAAUACGGGUUUCGAAAAUCUGGGAUGCUGACAAAAAAAUUUCAUUAACUGAAAUUUACAUUUGUACGAAAAUUUGUUGAACUCCAGUUCAAAAUUGCACGUGGAACUUAUAUUUUGACCUCCUUUUGCCUUUUGAAUCUUCAUCUCUUUCUUUAUUAGUGAAGAGUCUAAAGACCAAAAUUGUUGUGCCUGUAACAGUUUAUCUUCUUUGUUAUUGCAGUUCUUGCGAUCCGCUGUGGUUGUUUUCUACUUCUGUUAUUCAGUAGCACUCGAACCAGAAGGCAAAUUUUCUAAUCUCUUGUCAUUUAUUUUUAGGUAUUGUAUGUUUUUGCUUGAGUUCUUUUAAAAAAUUAUAAUAAACAUACAUAGAUAUUAGUCACUGUUGAAAGUAUAUUCAGUAAUGUAAAUACGUACAAAUUGCAUGGACAUCUUUUUGCUUUUGAUUUUUUACUUUGUUUUCCUGUAUCUCUGUUUGAUCAAAAUAAACUUUUAUUAUUUUUUGUGCGUCCGAUCAGCUACACUUACUUGGAGAUUUGUGUUUGUUCCAGUGGUUCUAAUCGACGAGUCAUACUGAUCAUUUAUUAUUGUCUUUCUCAAUAUGCUUUCAGGUACUCUUCGCUCUUUCUUUCCCCUUCGUAUAUAAUUUUUACUAUCUAUAUUUUGUUUGUUUGUGGUCGAGCUUCUGCUGAAUUCUAAGUUGGCAUUUAAGGUUCCUAAGAAACAUUUCAGGUUCGUAAGAACGGAACCUCAUCGUUUUAGGUUUUUGGCUUGAAUUAUUGUUUUCGGUUAUGAGUGAGUGUUCUAGCUUCAGAGACUCAUUAAAUGCUACGUCGAAUGAAUCUUAUACGAUUAUAUGAUUAGAAAAUAAAUAUGUUUCUCGACUUACGUGUUUUGUAUUCGUAUAUAUUUUAUGGCAUCGAAAUAAAGUUUAUUUUUCCAUUUUUUUUAUUUGACUAAGUUUAAAAUUUUCAGUGUCCUAAAUGAAAAACAUAUGAUAGUUAAUCAUGACGUUUUCAACAGACUGAAGCAGGGUGACCAAGUGCUUAAUUUUCUUGCUGAUGUUUCUAAAGCUCUUAUUAGAGAAGUAUCUUUAAAAUCUUACUAUCUUAAUGAUUUAUUUAUUUUUACAAUCUUUUGGUAUUAGAUUGCAAUUGAGAGUAAAAAACAGUGAGCCUAAGGACCAACUCGAUUUUGAUUAAAGAAGGAGAAUACUUCCAUUGGCAACUACCAAUAUGGCUGAAAAUCUGGACUCUUGAUGUGGAGGUUUUUAAUUAUUAAAUAAUACCUCAAACUUCAUAUAGGUUCUGCAGGUUUCUUCUCUUCCCAUUGAAUGGCUUUAAUGAUCUAUCUUUGCGUCAAUGAUUAACUUUGUGAGCAUAUUUGUUAGAUGUUGUUCUGGCAUCUUAUUGUACAACAGAAAACAUUUAAAGGAUGUGGAGUAUGUGCAUUAGAUCCUGCUACAUGAUUCAGAUUGCUUUCACUCAUAUGGUGUCUGGGCAAAGGAUUUGAGAAGUUGUCCAGUACCGAAAGUUUUGUCGCUGACAGAGUUGAAACAAGAUAUCUCAGCUCGGUAAAAUCUCAUGUACUCAUUAAAAUCCAUAUUCAGCGCCAUCGUAUUUUUUCUCCUAUAUGCUCAGUAAAUUUGUUUUCCUCUUUUAACUUCGCAAUACAACUUAACUUAGUAAAAUGUCAUGCAUCUGAACUUAGAUUUGAAUAGUUGAAUAGUUGGACAAGUAACUUGCCUGAUGAAAAUACCAAUUUCUACCUUUAAUUUGCUUGUGCAGGGUGUUGCUUCCAUCGAAAUAUACCAGGUAAUACCUAGAGUCUAAUAGCCUCCUUGACCAAACUUUUAAAAUUAGCUUAUGAGUAUUCUUGAUGAAGCAGUUUGUGUUCUAUAAAUCAACUUGAGAUCGCAUUUUUAACUUUUCAAAAUUAAGUUCUGCAUCUACUCAAAAGUACAUUUUUCCUUCUAAAAGUUUGACCAAAUAUCUUAACUUUAUGGAAAAGUAUUUUUAGCGAAAAAAACACUUUUGGCCAAAAAAAGGUUGACCUAUUAGGCUAUAAGCUCACUUCGAGCAUAAAAGAAUGAUUUUGUUUCUUCUUCUUCCGCCACAUGUUUUUCCAGAACUCUUGUACAUAAAAGAUGAAAAUUUAGCGAGCAUCUUAAAUGAAAUUUCGUGUCCUAUAAUUGGUGCAACUGCUACAAUAAUGAUAGAGUACUGGAGAAGAAGUAUGCAGAUUAAUAAAGAUGAAAGCAAAUCCAUGUCAAAUAGUCAAUAUUCAAUUCUACGCUUGCUCCAUAAAGACCUUUUAUUUUUACCCGAAAAAUGAAAAUGAAGAGAUAAACCAUGACUAGAGAGUUCCUUGCAUCAUUAUGCCUAUGUGCCGGCUACUCUCGAAUUCCUUCAUGGCUGGAUACAGUUAUUGGGGUUUGCAUACAGCUACCUCUUGUUUUUGUCUUGAUAUAAUUUUGUUAUAUAGCGGACGGAGGUUUCUAAUUUUAAUGUAUUUAUUACAUGUCGUUCAGCUAUGUGUGGUGUAUUCGCGUGUACUCGCAUCUCUUUUUACUGACUAAAUUUGAGCUUAUGGUAUAAUGAAGCACAAACAAAGAUGUAUGACAGGCCAUGUUUAGAAAAGUAUGUCAAUUACCACCAACUAAUUUGGUUCUCUUGCUUUUCUUCCUCUUCUCAACUUUCUCUUUGAAAGAAUGAGAUAGGCUACACUAACAAAUAAUCCCUACAGGUACCAAUAUUUUUGACAGAAGCAGGCAAGAAAGGAGCCUAACCAAAGCGUGAUAGCUGCACUAUAUUGCGUAUGCAUAGUAUAUAUUUGAACGUAUUUCUCCCAUAGAUGAAAGGAAUAUGCCAUUUGGCAACCACACAACAUUCAAGAAUGGAUAUUUUGUCAUCCAUAUUCAUAAAUAAUAUCCUACAGUUGGUAUAUAAUAUCGUUAAAGUCAAUUGAUAGUUCUUUACAUGUAUUGAUUUUUUAUUGUCUGCGAUUUCAUAUCAAAAUGAAGUUACAUCUUCUAUAUUAUUGGGCCCGUGUCUAUUACAUUAGACAUGGUAAAUUUUACACGAACACUAUCACCUAGGGAAAUGUGAUAAGCUUUUCUCAACAACAAAAAAAAAUUGUAUU
rnacentral:lncRNA from 1 species